rnacentral:lncRNA from 1 species
GCACCACCAAAAUCAAAAGUAAUAUCACUGUAUAUAUUUUUCAAACUAAAUAUCAUAAUAUCAGUUUUAUUAGGGUUAAACUUCACUAGCCAUUUUUCUGACCACUUACUUAAAUAAUCAAGAUCUCUACUGAUUGAAUUUUUCAAAGUGGAUUCAUCAGGUGCAGUAUGACCUAUUGAAGUAUCAUCUGCAAAAAGCCUUCCGAAUCCAGACAUACCAUCAGCUAUAUCAUUUAUGUAUAUUAAAAACAACAAGGGUCCUAAUACUGACCCCUGAGGCACACCAGCGUUAAGUUUUCCAAUGUUUGAUAACGAAUCUUUUAUGACAACUCUCUGAGAUCGUCUAGACAAGUAACUUUUCAACCAACAUAGCAAGUCUCCUUUUAUACCAUAUUUUUCAAGUUUAUGUAAUAAAGCCUUAAUCCAAAC